UGGGGAAUUUUGCACAAUGGAGGAAACUCUGAUGCAGCGACGCCGCGUGAGUGAUGAAGAUCUUCGGAUUGUAAAACUCUGUCCUUAGUGAAGAUAAUGACAGUAACUAAGAAGCAAGCCCUGGCUAAAUACGUGCCAGCAGCCGCGGUAAUACGUAUGGGGCAAGCGUUGUCCGGAAUUAUUGGGCGUAAAGGGUACGUAGGCGGUUUAAUAAGUCCUAAUUAAAAGGCUAUGGCUCAACCAUAGUAUGGUUAGGAAACUGUUGAACUUGAGUAGAUGAGGGGAAAGUGGAAUUCCAUGUGUAGCGGUGAAAUGCGUAGAUAUAUGGAGGAACACCAAUGGCGAAGGCAACUUUCUGGAAUCAAACUGACGCUGAGGUACGAAGGCGUGGGGAGCAAACAGGAUUAGAUACCCUGGUA
rnacentral:rRNA from 1 species